rnacentral:rRNA from 1 species
GAUGAACCUCGCUUGCGGGGGGAUUAGUGGCGAACGGGUGAGUAACACGUGAGUAACCUGCCCUUAACUCUGGGAUAAGCCUUGGAAACGGGGUCUAAUACUGGAUAUUGACUUUACCUCGCAUGGGGUUUGGUUGAAAGAUUUAUUGGUUUUGGAUGGACUCGCGGCCUAUCAGCUUGUUGGUGAGGUAAUGGCUCACCAAGGCGACGACGGGUAGCCGGCCUGAGAGGGUGACCGGCCACACUGGGACUGAGACACGGCCCAGACUCCUACGGGAGGCAGCAGUGGGGAAUAUUGCACAAUGGGCGAAAGCCUGAUGCAGCGACGCCGCGUGAGGGAUGACUGCCUUCGGGUUGUAAACCUCUUUCAGUAGGGAACAAGGCCAGCAUUUUUGUUGGUUGAGGGUACUUGCAGAAGAAGCGCCGGCUAACUACGUGCCAGCAGCCGCGGUAAUACGUAGGGCGCAAGCGUUAUCCGGAAUUAUUGGGCGUAAAGAGCUCGUAGGCGGUUUGUCGCGUCUGCCGUGAAAGUCCGGGGCUCAACUCCGGAUCUGCGGUGGGUACGGGCAGACUAGAGUGAUGUAGGGGAGACUGGAAUUCCUGGUGUAGCGGUGAAAUGCGCAGAUAUCAGGAGGAACACCGAUGGCGAAGGCAGGUCUCUGGGCAUUAACUGACGCUGAGGAGCGAAAGCAUGGGGAGCGAACAGGAUUAGAUACCCUGGUAGUCCAUGCCGUAAACGUUGGGCACUAGGUGUGGGGGACAUUCCACGUUUUCCGCGCCGUAGCUAACGCAUUAAGUGCCCCGCCUGGGGAGUACGGCCGCAAGGCUAAAACUCAAAGGAAUUGACGGGGGCCCGCACAAGCGGCGGAGCAUGCGGAUUAAUUCGAUGCAACGCGAAGAACCUUACCAAGGCUUGACAUGAACUGGAAAUACCUGGAAACAGGUGCCCCGCUUGGCGUCGGUUUACAGGUGGUGCAUGGUUGUCGUCAGCUCGUGUCGUGAGAUGUUGGGUUAAGUCCCGCAACGAGCGCAACCCUCGUUCUAUGUUGCCAGCACGUUAUGGUGGGGACUCAUAGGAGACUGCCGGGGUCAACUCGGAGGAAGGUGAGGACGACGUCAAAUCAUCAUGCCCCUUAUGUCUUGGGCUUCACGCAUGCUACAAUGGCCGGUACAAUGGGUUGCGAUACUGUGAGGUGGAGCUAAUCCCAAAAAGCCGGUCUCAGUUCGGAUUGGGGUCUGCAACUCGACCCCAUGAAGUCGGAGUCGCUAGUAAUCGCAGAUCAGCAACGCUGCGGUGAAUACGUUCCCGGGCCUUGUACACACCGCCCGUCAAGUCAAGAAAGUUGGUAACACCCGAAGCCGGUGGCCUAACCCCC